GGGGGCGCCUGGUUUCGACAGAUAAAUACUAUGGUGUAGUUGCAUGCCGAGGAUCCAAAGUUCCUCGAAAAUCCCUUUGGAAAAACAAUAAGUGGCGAAUAUAGCUACGCUGCUGCUGCUUAAUUGUCAGUAGCUGUCUAUUAAUGGGCGCGUUCGCCUCCUAUUAAAUAGGCAUCAUUAAUGCGAACUAGCUUAUUAUGCUGUCUAGACAUAAUAAGCGAAAUAUAUAGGCUAGUUUGAAAAUAGUUUGACUAUUUAUGAAAAUCAAAUGAACCUUAAAAAAUAGUCUAAGCAUGUAGACGCUAUAUUAAUAGAUUAUUUGGACGGGAGUUCGAUUCUCCCCGCCUCCACAC
rnacentral:tmRNA from 1 species